UACGUAGGGUGCGAGCGUUGUCCGGAAUUAUUGGGCGUAAAGAGCUUGUAGGCGGUUUGUCGCGUCUGCCGUGAAAGUCCGGGGCUCAACUCCGGAUCUGCGGUGGGUACGGGCAGACUAGAGUGAUGUAGGGGAGACUGGAAUUCCUGGUGUAGCGGUGAAAUGCGCAGAUAUCAGGAGGAACACCGAUGGCGAAGGCAGGUCUCUGGGCAUUAACUGACGCUGAGGAGCGAAAGCGUGGGGAGCAAACAGG
rnacentral:rRNA from 1 species